rnacentral:rRNA from 1 species
UGAGUAACCUGCCCUUAACUCUGGGAUAAGCCUGGGAAACUGGGUCUAAUACCGGAUACGACUCCUCAUCGCAUGGGUGGGGGGUGGAAAGCUUUAUUGUGGUUUUUGGAUGGACUCGCGGCCUAUCAGCUUGUUGGUGAGGUAAUGGCUUACCAAGGCGACGACGGGUAGCCGGCCUGAGAGGGUGACCGGCCACACUGGGACUGAGACACGGCCCAGACCUCCCGUAACGGGGAGGCAG